GAGGGUAUAGCUCAAGUGGUAGAGUGCAUGCUUAGCAUGACCGAGGUCCUGGGUUUAAUCCCCAGUACCUCCU
rnacentral:tRNA from 1 species